rnacentral:lncRNA from 1 species
AACCUACAACUUUUACCGAUUCGAGUCCAAAUGAAGGUUCUUGUCAAAGUCAGCUAACUAUGGAAUUCUCCGAGCCUGAAAUGUGAGGAAAUGAGGGUGGUGAGAUUAGAAAAUCCCAGUGAGUAAACAAAUACCAUCUAAACUAUCUAAAGUCGAGUAAAUGGAGACAAUUAAAAUAAAUCAUCAUACUGUAAUUUCAUUACCUUUCAACUCAUUUCAACCAAAUAAAAUCAAUCCAUAAAAAUCGAGUAAUCAACUUGGCUUAUGAAUUUCUUAAAACUUUGGCUCGUGCCAAAACUCAUACUCGGUGAUACCUUGUGCAGGGCAUCUAACCGAGUCCGCCAAGGCUGUUAAAAUUUUGUGUACACUUAAAAUAUAUUUUUGUUUGAAAAAAAUACAGCCGUUCCUUGGCGUUGGCUGAGUUCCCCUCCACGUGGUGGUUUGGCGUGAAGUGAACCCUAAGCUUUACCCCAGGAGAUACCCUACGCGCUUCUCCAUUCGAGGUAAUAAUAUAAUGGAGUUUACCGUGCCCCUCUAAUAGGCUGGUCCACGGAACCCCCUCUGCAGUAAAUAAUUAAUAUAUAAUCCACCAAUCAAUAAAAUUCAUUCUAGCAUGACAUGGCAAUUUAUUGCAACCUAGCCUCUCAAGGCUGAAUACACAUUAUAAAUAAUUCUAACACCAAAAUCAGUUUAGCCAUUCAUGCUCAUUUAUUAUCAUAAGCCAUUCAAUUCAAAACCAUAAAUUUGCAACACAAACUAGCAGUCUCCAAUUACUCUAUUUUCAAAACCAAUAUUCGAUUUUCCAGAAAAUUUAUAAAAUCAUUUUAUAAAAUCACAAUUUCUCUUAAAACAUAGCAAUUUACCAUUUAAACCCAUUUUUCAUAAAAUCACACAGUUGUAUAAAACUACUCUAGAUAAUUAAGACGAUAAUAAGUUCACUCAC